CCUACGUGAGGCAGCAGUGAGGAAUAUUGGUCAAUGGGCGCGAGCCUGAACCAGCCAAGUCGCGUGAGGGAGGACGGCCCUACGGGUUGUAAACCUCUUUUGCCGGGGAGCAACGGGCGUCACGUGUGGCGCCACUGAGAGUACCCGGAGAAAAAGCAUCGGCUAACUCCGUGCCAGCAGCCGCGGUAAUACGGAGGAUGCGAGCGGUAUCCGGAUUUAUUGGGUUUAAAGGGUGCGUAGGCGGAUCGUUAAGUCAGGGGUCAAAUUGAGGGGCUCAACCCCUUCCCGCCAUUGAAACUGGCGUGCUUGAGUGGAAGAGAAGUAUGCGGAAGGCGUGGUGUAGCGGUGAAAUGCAUAGAUAUCACGCAGAACCCCGAUUGCGAAGGCAGCAUGCCGGCUUCCGACUGACGCUGAAGCACGAAAGCGUGGGGAUCGAACAGGAUUAGAUACCCUGGUAGUC
rnacentral:rRNA from 1 species